CAUCGCCUCUUGACCAAAUAUAAGAGGUCCAGCCUGCCCACUGACAUAGUUUAACGGCCGCGGUACCCUAACCGUGCGAAGGUAGCAUAAUCACUUGUUCUUUAAAUAAGGACUUGUAUCAACGGCAUCACGAGGACUAUACUGUCUCCUUUCUCCAAUCAGUGAAACUGAUCUCCCCGUGAAGAAGCGGGGAUUAACCUAUAAGACGAGAAGACCCCAUGGAGCUUAAAGCCCACAAACACCUCUGCGCACCUAAACCAAUUUAGCCCAAGAGACCUGUAAGCCAGCUUUAGGUUGGGGGGACCGCGGAGAAAAACCUAACCUCCACGACAAACGGGCAAACGCCCUAAUCCACGAAUUACAAUUCUAAGAAUCAAUAAACUGAUGUUUAAUGACCCGAUUAUUCGAUCAACGAACCAAGUUACCCUGGGGAUAACAGCGCAAUCUACUUUAAGAGCUCAUAUCGACAAGUAGGUUUACGACCUCGAUGUUGGAUCAGGGUAUCCCAGUGGUGCAGCCGCUACUAAAGGACGACCUCGAUGUUGGAUCAGGGUAUCCUAGUGGUGCAGCCGCUACUAAAGG
rnacentral:rRNA from 1 species